rnacentral:lncRNA from 1 species
AAAAAAAAAAAAAGAUAAAACAGGAGAUGUCAAAGAAACCUUCAAUGAGGCAGCUGGCCCAGAUCCAGGAUCUCCUUCCACUCUUCUUGAGUCCCAGGCUUCUUUGUGGUGAAGGUGAGCAGCUGGGUCAGCGCUUUCCCAGCCCAGCUUUGCUUGUGUCCCUGUCUGUCAGGAGCCCUCAGCGGCUCCCCAUUGCUCAGUAACAACAGUUCUCAGUUCUUGAGUGAUUACCUUAGUCUGGGCAUAGGGCCUUUUUGUGAAUCCCUACAACAACCCUACUAGGCAGAUACCAUUAUUAUUUCCAUUUUACAAAUGAGGAAACUGAGGCUUGGAGAGAAGAGAUUUUUGCCAAGGUACCUCAGCUGGUUGGUGACAAAGCCAGGAUUCAGAUUCGCUGGGCCAUUAGUUGCCACUGCUGAUAGAAUGAAGUCCACUGCCUUCCCUGGAGUCGCAGCCUUGCUCUUAUCUGCUCAGGACCCACUUUCCCACCAUCCUGUGCUCCACAGACUGAACAAACAGCCACUUCCAUCUCCCUAAACGCUACACAGGUUCCCACCUGAGAACCUUUCUUUGCCUGUGCUGUUCCCUCCACCUAGAGUCCCCUCGCCUCUUCACAUAAGCAAGGGGGUGCCCUUUAUCUCUUAUGCCCCCACAAUUCUAUUUGUGAGGCUCUAUGGCCCCUUAUCACACACAUUUUGUGUGCCCAGGGAUUGGAGGUGUGACAGACUGGUAUUUAGGUCUAAAUCUUUUUUGUUUUUUUUUUUUUUGAGAUAGAGUUUUGUUCUUGUCACCCAGGCUGGAGUGCAGUGGGGUAAUCUCGGCUCCCUGCAACCUCCGCCUCCCGGGUUCAAGCGAUUAUCCCACCUCAGCCUCCCGAGUAGCUGGGAUUACAGGUGCGCACUACUACGCCUGAGUAAUUUUUGUAUUUUUAGUAGAGACGGGGUUUCAUCAUGUUGGUCAGGCUGGUCUCAAACUCCUGACCUCGUGAUCCGUCUGCCUGGGCCUCCCAAAGUGCUGGGAUUAAAGGCGUGAGCCACCGUGCCUAGCCUUUUUUUGGAGAUGGAGUUUCGCCCUUGUUGCCCAGGCUGGAGCACAGUGGCGUGAUCUCAGCUCACUGCAACCUCUGCCUCCCGGGUUCAAGCGAUUCUCUUGUCUCAGCCUCCUGAGUAGCUGGGAUUACAGGUGCGUGCCACCACACCCAGCUAAUUUUUUGUAUUUUUAGUAUAGACAGGGUUUCACCAUGUUGGCCAGGCUGGUCUCGAACUCCUGACUUCAGGUGAUCCAGCCACCUUGGCCUCCCAAAGUGCUGGGAUUAUAGUGUGAGCCACUGCCCUUUUGUUUUGUUUUUUUAAGAGACAAGGUCUCACCCUGUUGCCAGGGUGGAGUGCAGUGGCAGGAUCUUGGCUCACUGCAACCUCAAUCUCCCACGCUCAAGUGAUCCUCCCACCUCAGCCUUCUGAGUAGUGGGGACUACUGGUGCGUGCCACCAUGCUCAGCUAAUUUUUUUUUUUUUUUUUGAGACGGUGUCUCACUCUGUCGCCCAGGCUGGAGUGCAGUGACGCAAUCUUGGCCCACUGCAAGCUCUGCCUCCUGGGUUCAUGCCAUUCUCCUGCCUCAGCCUCCCCAGUAGCUGGGACUACAGGCGCCGGCCACCACGCCAGCUAAUUUUUUUGUAUUUUUAGUAGAGACGGGGUUUCACCGUGUUAGCCAGGAUGCUCUUGAACUCCUGACCUCGUGAUCCAUCCGCCUCGGCCUCCCAAAGUGCUGGGAUUACAGGUGUGAGUCACUGUGCCUGGCCUAAUUUUUUUUUUUUUUUUUUGAGAUGGAGUCUUGCUCUGUCGCCCAGGUUGGAGUGCAUGGCGCGAUCUGGGCUCACUGCAAUCCCUGACUUCCGGGUUCACGCCGUUCUCCUGCCUCAGCCUCCCAAGUAGCUGGGACUACAGGUGCCUGCAAGCAAGCUCGGCUAAUUUUUUGUAUUUUUAGUAGAGAUGGGGUUUCACCGUGUUAGCCAGGAUGGUCUUGAUCUCGUGACCUCGUGUGCCAGCCCGCGG